rnacentral:misc_RNA from 1 species
GAAAUGCGAUAAGUAAUGUGAAUUGCAGAAUUCAGUGAAUCAUCGAAUCUUUGAACGCACAUUGCGCCCGCCAGAAUUCUGGCGGGCAUGCCUGUUCGAGCGUCAUUUCAACCCUCGAGCUCCCCUUUCGGGGGGAGCCCGGCGUUGGGGACCCGGCGCUAUCAACGCCGGCCCCGAAAUGGAGUGGCAGCCCGUCCGCGGCGACCUCUGCGUAGUAACAACCACUCGCACCGGGACCCGGGCGCGGCCACGCCGUAAAACACCCCACCUUCCGAAUGUUGACCUCGAAUCAGGUAGGAAUACCCGCUGAACUUAAGC